rnacentral:lncRNA from 1 species
GCAGCGUCUCCCCCUCGCCCUGCGGCCCCCGCCCCCCGCGGCCGCAUGAGCCCCAGCAGCGUCUCCCCCGCAGGCGGACGAGUGGUCGAGUCGCGCUACCUGCAGUACGAGAAGAAACCGGCCAGGAAGGCCCCCGCAGCCGCCGACGCGGCGAAGCCCGCUGGGAAGGCGCCCGACGGCGGACGGAAGUCGAGCCUGCUGCAGAGGAGCCGAGGUGCGUGCUGGGCGAGGCGGGCGGGCCCGGCUGGGACCCCCGCUCUGCUUCCCGGGAAGGGCCAGAGAGGGAGCCGGUGGGUGGGGGCUGGCGGGAGAGGAGCGGGGCAGCCUCCCCACCGCAGAGCCAGUCACCCCUGGUUUACUCGAUGGCUCCCCCUCGGACCCCCGGGUCCCCUGACGGGCUCGUCGAGGCCGCCUCCCCCUCGGGUUGCUUCUUCCCUUCCUUCCGCGGCGGCGGCGGGCGUGAGUUUCCAUUUUCUGACCGCAGAAGCGACAGGCAUCCCCUCGGGAGACGCCGGGCGGGGGUCGCUCACGGCCCCGGCAGGCAGGCGCUGUCCGCGUAUCCGGCGUUCGCUUCUAGACAUCGUGCUCCGGGAGGAGUCGGCCUGGGCCCACUCCGCGCAGCCCUCGGCGCUCGACGCCCCCAGCCCGUAACGGCUGCCCUUGGCCGAUGCGGGUUUGGUCGUGCGUCAGGGUUUGUGGCCGCCAGAGCCGGCCUCUGGCUUUCGUCCUGCAGCUGCGGCGAGGGCCGCGCCGUGGGGUCCGGUGGCAGCGCCCCGCCUCCCCGCCGCGGCCACCCUGCCCCAGGGGACGCGGCGGUAUCUGGAGAGAUUCCUUCCCACCCCACUGGGGACGGGGCCAGAGAUGCCCCUGCGGCCACACGGGGUGGCCCCCGUCGAAGAAGGGGCCGGCACCGUGAAAACAUCAGCGCGGUAAACGUGCAGGUCUGCUUGGCGGUUUAAACCUCGUUGCCACGGCCGCCCUCUCCGCGUCAGUCCCUCUCACGAUCGCCCGGCGGUUAGUUAAGUCGUGUGGCCGCCAGCCGCCGACACGGCAGAGCAUCCCGUACACGUCGGCAGCCCCUGGCUUAACUGACGCACGUGGCUCGUCGCCGGUGACGCUGCACGGUUUUAAAAAGAGGCGCAGAGAGGAAGAGGCCAUCCGGGGCGAUGAGAUGCCAGAAGCAGCAGGAGAAAGACAGGAAAAGGGUAGAGGGAAAAAAUGACACAGCCGGGUGUGAGGCUCAGAGGGAGAAAAUUGUGUGACCGCACACGGGAGCCUCGUAGAUGGGAAACCACGUGGCACGUGCUAGAUUCUCGUAGACGGGAAACCGUGUGGCCGCGUGUCGGAUUCUCGUAGACGGAAACCACGUGGCACAUGUCGGAUUCUCAUAGAUGGGGAAACCACGUGGCCGCACAUGGGAGCCUCGUAGAUAGGAAACCAUGUGGUACGUGUCAGAUUCUCGUAGACGGGAAAACCAUGUGGCCGCGUGUCAGAUUCUCGUAGACGGGAAAACACGUGGCCGCGUGUCAGAUUCUCGUAGACGGGAAAACACGUGGCCGCGUGUCAGAUUCUCGUAGAUGGGGGAGCUGCGUGGCUGCACACAGGAUCCUCAAAGAUGGGGAAACUGCAGCUACGUGGCUGACUUUCAUGGGUGGAGAGGUCAUGUGGCUGCAUGUCAGACUUUUGCAGACGGGGAAACUGCGUGGCCGUGUGUCGGAUUCUCGUAGACGGGAAACCACGUGGCCGCACACAGGAUCCCCAUAGAUGGGAAACUGCACGGCCACGUGGCUGGCUCUCAUGGGCGGAG